CCUGCCAAGAGAGAGGGUGCGUCAGGUGCAGCAAGCGUCUGCCGUCUUCCCCGGCCGGCAGGAGUCAUCACACAGGGGCAAAUGUGCAAAGAGAGCCGAACAGGAUGCUGCCGGAACACUCCCAAGCCAGGUCCAAAGUUUGCCUACAGCCAUGGAAGGGGGGCGCGGUGCCCCAGAGUCUAAUAGAGUCUGUGCUCUCCACCUCUCCUUCCCAGGCCCAGCCCACACCCCCCCAGGAACCUGAUUCCAGCCUGUCUGGACCCCUCCUGCUCAAUGGAUUGCUCUUGGUUUGCCGGUGAUAAUUUCAUGUCACCAACCAAACCCGUGUGAAACAUUCUACGAUGUCACCAUAGACGCAUUGCGCUCCACAUACAACUGGCCUUGGAGAAUGUAACAGAAUCUCCAGAAUCUCCAGAAAUCUCCAAUAGCACAGCUGGGGGAAGGCUGUCACACUUUGGACUGGAAAACCAAAGGGGGUGAGCUGACAGGACAUAUCGAAAACUCACAGUAACAAUGCUGUCAACAGGAAGGCCCAAUAGACAACCUACUGGCCAAGGAGCCCUUCUGCUUUGCAAACGCAGGUACCACAUUUUCCCUUUCUUUUUAACCCUUCCUCAUAGUGCUUUGUGAACAGUGAAUCUGGUGUCGGGUAAAACUUCAAAACUAAAGCCAGAGACUUGUUUGUGGGUGUGCAUGCAUGUCUACAAUGUUGAUCACAUCCAGGGUUCUAAACAAAUGUGGCUAGGGGAAGGGAGAAGGGCUCCUUUCUCUGCUCAGGGCUGAUCCA